GGAGGGCAAGUCUGGUGCCAGCAGCCGCGGUAAUUCCAGCUCCAAUAGCGUACAUUAAAGUUGUUGCAGUUAAAAAGCUCGUAGUUGAACCUUGGGCCUGGCUGGCCGGUCCGCCUCACCGCGUGCACUGGUUCGGCCGGGCCUUUCCCUCUGGGGAACCCUAUGGUCUUCACUGAUCGUAGCGGGGAACCAGGACUUUUACUGUGAAAAAAUUAGAGUGUUCAAAGCAGGCCUAUGCUCGAAUACAUUAGCAUGGAAUAAUAAAAUAGGACGUGUGGUUCUAUUUUGUUGGUUUCUAGGACCGCCGUAAUGAUUAAUAGGGACAGUCGGGGGCAUCAGUAUUCAAUUGUCAGGGGUGAAAUUCUUGGAUUUAUUGAAGACUAACUACUGCGAAAGCAUUUGCCAAGGAUGUUUUCAUUAAUCAGGAACGAAAGUUAGGGGAUCGAAGACGAUCAGAUACCGUCGUAGUCUUAACCAUAAACUAUGCCGACUAGGGAUCGGACGGUGUUAUUUUUGACCCGUUCGGCACCUUACGGGAAAC
rnacentral:rRNA from 1 species